GACGAACGCUGGCGGCGUGCUUAACACAUGCAAGUCGAACGGAAAGGCCCUGCUUUUGUGGGGUGCUCGAGUGGCGAACGGGUGAGUAACACGUGAGUAACCUGCCCUUGACUUUGGGAUAACUUCAGGAAACUGGGGCUAAUACCGGAUAGGAGCUCCUGCUGCAUGGUGGGGGUUGGAAAGUUUCGGCGGUUGGGGAUGGACUCGCGGCUUAUCAGCUUGUUGGUGGGGUAGUGGCUUACCAAGGCUUUGACGGGUAGCCGGCCUGAGAGGGUGACCGGCCACAUUGGGACUGAGAUACGGCCCAGACUCCUACGGGGGGCAGCAGUGGGGAAUAGUGCACAAUGGGCGGAAGCCUGAUGCAGCAACGCCGCGUGCGGGAUGACGGCCUUCGGGUUGUAAACCGCUUUCGCCUGUGACGAAGCGUGAGUGACGGUAAUGGGUAAAGAAGCACCGGCUAACUACGUG
rnacentral:rRNA from 1 species